rnacentral:lncRNA from 1 species
AAAGAGGGAGACAGGAGAGUUAGAGUCAGAGGAAGAGAGAGAAAAAUUGGAAGAUGCUCCCCUGCUGGCUUUGAAGAUAGAGAAUGAGGCCAUGAGGCAAAGAAUGCAGACAGCCUCUAGGAGCUACAGGAAGCAAGGAAACAGACUCUCCCCCAGAGCUUCCUGAAGGAACGCAGCUCCACCGACACCUUGGUUUUAGCCACUGAGAUUGAUGUUGGACUUCAGACCUCCAGAACUGUAAGAUUUCCUGGGAUCUGAAGGAAGUUCAUUUCUGAAGGCAAACUGGAGGCCCAUGCCACAGCCCAGUGCCGAUCCACGUCCCCUUAUUUUGGUGUUGCUGCUAGCACAGGAGAUGCGCAGUGUCUCAGAAACCGAUCUGCAUCUUGGCGAUUGAGAUGAGAUUUGUUUGGUAGAAAAACCAAAUGGUUUUCUAGAUGUUGGCUGUACAAAUCAUGAGGACUGCGCGAAAGUAAUGGGCUGAGCUGACUGCCAACAGGAACUGCUAUUUAAAGAUGGGUGUGGCGCUCAAGGAGCUACUGGAGUGGACACCGCCCAGCCUGGACCCCUCUGGCAGGCCACUUCCCCAGCUUCCAGGAGUGUCGGCUGCGAAUAUCGCACAGCUUCCCUUUCUCCAGAGAAUUGCCCUGGGCCAACAGAAGCCUCUUUGCAGGAGGCCACUGUCCUCUCCACCCAGCCUGUAGAAAUGAUGGACGGGACAGGAGGGGUACAAAAGCUGAGGUGCCUUGCUGGAGGGCCUCCCCCUCUUCCCCAGCCUGCUUCCCUCAGCUCCUGCAGCUUCUUCCUUUCAAGGACCCUCUCAGUGGAUCCCGGACCCCUGAAUUCUGUCUCAGGCUCUGCCUCAGGGAGCCCAGCCCUUCCCUAUCUUACUGUUGAAGACACGUGGGUGUGAGAGGUGGAGACAUAAGGGCGCCCUUGCUCUUCUGUGCCUGCAGUCGAUUUGGCAGGUUGCUUCUCGUGUGCUCUCUGCAGAAACAGAUGCCCUUGUGAUGACUGCAUCCGGGACCUCUGCGGACUUGAGCAGUUAUUUGAGUUCCAACUUUCACCAGUUGUGAGAAGACUUUAAAUAUUCUGACCCUAAACCGUCUUGGGAUGGCUGAUGUCAUGAAAAUUCUUGAGUCAUAGAAGCCAUUUGCUGUUUAUUCUGCUGAGAGUGUUUUGCAGAAUCUUUCAUCCUUGAGCCUUCUGUUGUAGUCUCAGGAAAGCACCACCUGUGUCGAGAUCUAGGAUGUUUCCUUCUCAGUCCAUUAUCAUCCACCCACCAGGAACAGGUAACCACUCUUCUGUCUUCUGAUAACAGAAGAGCUGUGCUUCUUGAGCUUCAUGUAAAUAGAAUCAUACAGUCUGUAUUCCUUUGUAUCUGGCCUCACUCGCUCGCCGUUACAUCUUGAGAUUCCCCCACCUUGUUUGUGCUUUUGUUUAGAGCAUCUCCUGUCGUAUGUUUUCACGUCUUAUUUCUCUGUAUGUUUUGCCCUAUCUUCUGCUUUACCCUCCAUACUUAAAGUACAGGCUGUGUCUUUUCUGUAUUUCGUAUCUUAGCAUAUGGUGGACAUUUGCAAAUAUUACAUGGCGGAUGCUGCCUAGAUUCCAGUUCACAUGGCUACUCAGUGACAGCGAGCUUUUAUCUUCUCUCCCCGUGAGCAUUGCUCGUCCAGUCGAAAUAGUUGUGUCGAGGGCUGAAGCAUGUUUCACUGUAAUAAUAACAACAGUAAUAAAUAUUUAUAAGACCUUUAUCCAAGGGAUUCAGAGUGACUUGCAGUUUCUAGUUCACCUUUUCAUUUUCUUUUGGAGCUAUGCAGGAAAGCCACAGAACCCUUUUGCUGAUGGGUGAGCUGAGAUGGUCUGAGGCUAAGCGGCUGCCCCAAGUCCUGGAGAACAUCGGGGCGAAGUGAAGCUGUAAUCUCGUUGUCGCUGCCUCUCUCUCUGGGAUUCAGUCCUCGGCUUCCCUGAGCCCUGGGAGUGCUUAGGACUGUGCCAUGGAAGGAGACGCUCACACAGAUGGCACUGGGGGCCUCACGGUUUCGGAACCGUCCUCUUUUCAGUUCUUGUCGUGCUGUUGUUUCAGUGUGUGUGUGAGGGUUUGUGGCCUGUCCUUAACCUCUACCCUCUGUGACACUUUUUAUUGUGUUACUUUUAAGAAACCGGAUGUAGAAAGUUACAGGUUUAGGACACGAUGAGGGGAGCCGUUAGUCAGCGCUCUUCCACAGUGGACGCGCGUGGCGUUUCCAGUUUCUGGGGAGCUCGGUGCUCUGAGGACCACAGUUCAGGAGAGGCCGCUGUGCUGACCCCCUGUCCACCGUAUCUUUCCUUUUUGCCAUAAGCUCUCUUUUUUGUUUCCUGUGGAAUCACGUUUCCUAUUUAUAGUAGAAAUGAAUGGGAAACAGGAUUCAUUUGAUAAAAAGAAGUGAUGCCCAACUUCGCCAGAUAAUGUUUGAUGCCUUUGUAACAUAGAGAUACUCUCUAUUUGAUUCACAAACGUGUGCAAUUGGAACUACUCCAUGUAAACAACAUGCAGGAGGCACUUUUCACAUGAAGAGUUUGAAGACAGAGGGGCUAGGGGACAAAUUUGGACAAAUUUUGAGAGAAUUUGUAAAAUAAUUUAAAGUCACCUCUAUCUUCUCUUAAGUUUGGAGUUUGUUUGUCUUCACAUUGUUUAUCUUGAUGGGUUGUGCAGGGGAAGAAAAAUAUCUUUUCCUUCUACCCUUCUAGGUAUCUGGCUGGGGCCCUUCUAACAAAACACAGAUGAAUAAGAGAAAAGCAUAGAAAUUUAUUUAACAUAAGGUGUAUGUGACAUGGGAGACUUCGUGAGAAAACGAGGACCUGAAGAAGCGAUUGAACCUGAGUGUCUUUAUACUAGGUUUGAUGAAGAGCGGAAAGUCAUGGAAAAUGCGAUAGGACAAAGAGUAUGAGCUGAGGGGAGUGAACUGGGGAAACACAGCAAGGCCUCUUGGUCCAGAUCCUUCUCAGCAUCCCUCCUUCCUCGGAGGUAAGGAUGCUCCUCUCCUCGGGUACCAGGAGGGCCUCUCUCAUGAGGGUUUAGUGACCUGCUUCAGGGAGGGUCAGAGGGUCCUUCCUGCACCUGCUGUUUCUCAAAUUUCAGCUUAAACUAUUCAAUAUGCCAAGGUACCAUAUUUUGGGCUGUUGUGUCCUGAGCCCUGUCGUGGGGUAUAUUGAAAGCUUUCAACAUCACUAGCAUUUCAUUGCUUCUUUAUAAAUGGACUGAAAUGGGAAUUUCUCCCAAUUCCUAUCUUCUUUCUGUUUUUCUUAACUCAAAUUCAUGACUGAGAUAAUUGUAAUUUUCUUCUUGACUUCUAGUGUGAUUUAACAGGAUGCUCUAUGACCAAUAGCAUAUACGUUAGUGGCAAUUGACCCCUCAAUUUUGAGACAUGUUUAACUGUUUUUGAUUCCUCAAGCUCAAAUCAUGAAUGUACCCAAAUAAAGAAUAAAAUACUCUUCUUGAAAACACACACGCAGUAAAAUAGUAAAUAUGAACAAAGGAUCUGGUGCUGGCACAUGUUAAAAUUCAGGUAAUGAUGCUCUUUCUCUGUUUUGAAAAAAGUUAAAAUUCCACAUAGGUGCUCAGUCCAGGAAGGAAAGUCUUCACAAUCUACUUUGUUCAUGAGAUGCUUUAACAAUAAACAGCAUGGCUAUUCUGGAAGCACCUGUUAAACCAAUUAUAUGGCAAAUUUUCAAGUUCUAGAAUGAGCAGAUUUGUAAUUGGUGAAAGAUUUGAUAACCAAGAGAAGACAGGCUCUCGAGGAGACAGCAGGUGGUGAACAGGGAGUGUGUGAGCGGGAUCUUGCUGGUGUCUGUGUCUUACUGCAACCUGGAAAUUAGCCACUUUUACAUGCAAUAUUUUUUUUUCACGUAACAGUUCCCAAAUAAACAGUUAAAGCAGUUUCCGGUGAUUAAGGCAAUAUAGGAGAUUAGUUUUGUUAUGUAUAAUCACCUUUGCUUCUCCUUUAUUGAUGAAAAGAGUUUUUCUCAGCGGGUUGUGUUAUCUCUUUUAGAUGUUGCCUGAUCUUGUUUUUUAAAUGUAAAUCAGCUUUUUAAUCUUUUUUUAUGUAAAUUUGAUAGCCCGGUACCAGCAAUUAUUCUGCUUUGUUGCAGCUCCCUCUUUAGAACUGUCUCUGUUUUAUGUUUAAUUGUCCUAAUUGUCCAAAUUUGAAUAAACCUGGAGAACAGCAAUGGAGAUCAUUACUUGUUUUUAAAUUUACAAAAAGGUUUAAG